GUGCACAGAUGGCAAUUGUGUGAAUUUGGUAUGGGAUCCUCCAGGCUCUGGGCCGCCAAGCCUGCUAGGCAUGGAGAUGCUGAAGGGCGGUGCAGCCAGGCAGGGAUCAGGAGCAACUAGAGUCUGGAGGCCUUUCCUGACCCUGCUGAGCCUGUGGGGUCAAGAGUGGGGAAUGGAAGCGGGCCUGGCCCUACCUGGGCACUGUGGGCCUGCUGCUCUGCUCUCCAUUGACACAUCUGCUCCCUGUGCCCUUCCCCAGGAGUGCAUCAUCGACGAGGACUGUGGGCCCAGCAAGUACUGCCAGUUUGCCAGCUUCCAGUACACCUGCCAGCCAUGCCGGGGCCAGCGGAUGCUCUGCACCCGGGACAGUGAGUGCUGUGGAGACCAGCUGUGUGUCUGGGGUCACUGCACCAAAAUGGCCACCAGGGGCAGCAAUGGGACCAUCUGCGACAACCAGAGGGACUGCCAGCCGGGGCUGUGCUGUGCCUUCCAGAGAGGCCUGCUGUUCCCUGUGUGCACACCCCUGCCCGUGGAGGGCGAGCUUUGCCAUGACCCCGCCAGCCGGCUUCUGGACCUCAUCACCUGGGAGCUAGAGCCUGAUGGAGCCUUGGAC
rnacentral:sRNA from 1 species